rnacentral:misc_RNA from 1 species
AUAAAAUAAAUAUAUCAGUGUUAUUAGUAUUCUUAUGUUAGGCUAUUGAUGUUAAUGAAUCUAGAUAGAUAUAUAUGUCUAGAUUCAUUAACAUCAAUAUGAAUGUGGGAAAUGCUAGAAUGACUUACAUUGUGAAACGG